GCACUUCUCCCGGCUUGCAAAGCGGUAGGGAGACGAUCGGGCCGCUGGCCGCUGUCUCGGCGUUCAGCAAUAGAGGCCUUCCCGGAUCUCCCGAGAGGCGGGGAGCGAGCCUGGGUCCAGCAGCCUUCUCCCUCCCGAGAACAGCAGAAAGGGGGGACUCGACAGAAUGACCUCUGUUUCCCCAAGGAAGUGCACUCUGACGAUAACCUCGGGAGGGACGAGAAGGGCCGCUCUUUCGGAGAGCGGCCGCCGCCCCUGGAGUAGGGGACUCAGUGGCCACGAAGGCCUUCCCUGCUCGCGACCUUUCCACGGGAAGGCACGAAGCUUCCGAUGGGGGCCCCGGGGCGCUCCUGACUUUUCUACGGCGCGAGGGCUCUGACUCUGCGGUUCAGGUUUGAAAGUCCUUUGGAAGCUCGCAAGUGGUGGUCUCCCACCACCUCCUCGGUCAUCGCAGGAAGAAGGCGCAGUGAGGGCGGGAGUCUGGAUGAGCGGAGAGUAGCCACCGCGGAGAAGAGUGCGGGCUUGCAGGAGCCGACGAAGAUAACUCGAAAUGUGGGCAGGAAGAAGAGUGCUGAUCUGCUGCUUCCAGUCCGCUGGGCUGGAGAGCAGAAAGAGGCUACUUGAUCCCAGCCAAGCCAGUGUCUGUCCCCCAGCAAGCACUUCUGCCUUGGUGUGAUCCCCAUUCCUUUUC
rnacentral:lncRNA from 1 species